AGAGUGAACGCUGGCGGUAGGCCUAACACAUGCAAGUCGAACGGCAGCACAGUAGGAGCUUGCUCUUACGGGUGGCGAGUGGCGGACGGGUGAGGAAUACAUCGGAAUCUACCUUUUGGUGGGGGAUAACGUAGGGAAACUUACGCUAAUACCGCAUACGCCCUUCGGGGGAAAGCCGGGGACCAGCAAUGGCCUGGCGCUGAUAGAUGAGCCGAUGUCGGAUUAGCUAGUUGGUGAGGUAAUGGCUCACCAAGGCGACGAUCCGUAGCUGGUCUGAGAGGAUGAUCGGCCACACUGGAACUGAGACCGACGGUCCAAGGACCUCCGUACGGGAGGUCAGGCAGGUAGGGGAAUAGUUAGGAACAAGUGGGGACGACCGAACGGCC
rnacentral:rRNA from 1 species